AACUGUACAAGUGGUCAGAUCAACAGAUUGACCUGGGGCGCCAUGGAGUCCAGCCUGAGGGAAAACUUUAUAGUCAAUCCUUGUCAUGAUAUGGCUAGAGUACCGAAUCCAAGAUUUACUCCAAGCAUGUUUUGGAGAGACACAAUGUGGUUCUUGGACCAGAUGGUACCAGCCUACAUCAUGGACUUCUAUCUCUGGGUGACUGGGAA
rnacentral:sRNA from 1 species